AUGGAAGCGCUGCUCACGCUGGUGCACCUCGUGGCUGCAGCUACAUUGGAAAUCAAGACCAGCCCUUCCCCAGUAUUCUGUCUGGUGGACAAACAUAUUGAGUUGCAUUGUAAUUUUACAAUCUGGAAGAGUGUUAAAUUGGAGGAUGUGGCAGUGAAAUGGACCAUAAACAAUGAAUUUGGAGAGAAGACCGUAUACCAGUUUGAUGGAAAGCAUACGUUAUAUCACCGGAAUGGGGCCUUGGUGAAUCCUCAAUUACUAACCCAGGGCAGCGCAUCACUGAACCUGCAUAAUGUGACAUUAGAUGACGAAGGGAUCUACACAUGCACUGUUUUAAUAACCCCGCAAUACGGAAGUGGGACAAUCCAGCUCCAAGUAAGAGCUCAGCCUACAGUGUUGCUGUCACCCCAAAACCCCGAAAUUACAGCAGGGGGAGAGAAAACCUUUUCCUGUGAUGUUCAUCAAUUUUACCCUCAAGAAAUUGACAUCUCCUGGCUGGUUAGGAAGUAUGGCAGUAAACACGAGAGGCCUUUAACGCAGGAUAUCUGCACGGGAGUCCCACUGGCUCAUGAUAAAAAGGGCAUGUUCACCGUGCUGAGUCGGGUGACCCGAGAGGUGUCUGAAGAGGAUGAUGGAUCCUUGUACAUCUGUGAAGUCCGACAUGAAUCCCUGGAAAAGCCACUGAGAGGAAAUACAACCAUAUUUGUCACGACCCCAAAGCAGUAUCAUCGGGAUAUUGGGUUCAUUGUUGGAGUGGCUGCUGCUUGUAUUGUGAUAACUGGAGCGUGUAGUAUAUUUUUGACCAUAUUCUAUCGGGAACAACUUAUGAAAGUGCCACCUCAGGUUUCCUUGAUUAACAAACCAGAUGUGAUCCCGAUGAAUGAGAAGCUGAAGCUGAUGUGCAACAUAAAUGGGUUUAGACCAAAAGCGAUUAGUGUGAAAUGGUACCGGAGAACCCCCCAAAUGGCAUCAAGUGAAGCUCCUGGAGAAGCCUCUUUUCUUCUGGGUCCGAGAGACGAUAUUACAGACAAGGCAAGGCAGCCUUUGGAAACCAAUGGCAAGUUCUUCAGUGUUCCAUCCUGUCUGACCUACACACCCACCAUCCGGGAUGAUGGGGCAGUGUUUGAAUGCAGCGUUGAGCACAGCGCACUGAAAAACGUCAUAUGGAUGAGCACCACGCUGAGUGUCACAGCUCGGCCGACAAGUCUUUACAUCACUAGCUGGCCUCAGGCUCCCACGGUAGGAGAGAAGCUCAUUCUGAGCUGCGUAGUAGAGAAAUUUUACCCGAAGGAUAUCACUUUGACUUGGUUUCGAAAUGGACAACUGGUUAGCGAUGUGACACAGUUUGGACCUUUCCCUUGUGAAAUUGACUAUUUCAGUGUCUGGAGCCAGACUGAGUUUAUACUGACCAAUGAGGAGGAAGGGGCAGUUUAUAUCUGUCAGAUAAAACACAGCAGCUUUGGAAAUAUAGAAGAACUCUUCUAUGAAGUUAACUUGCAAGGGACACCCCCUGAAGUUCUCUGGAUCACCACAGACCCCUCCAUUCCUGUGGUGGGAGAGGAGCUGAGGCUGAACUGCAGGAUCAAUAACUUCUCCCCUAACGUGAUCACUGUGAACUGGUUACGAGAUGGGCAGCUCCUGCAAGCGGGAGUCUGCCAUUCAGUCUCCAUAAUGGGGGCCAAUGGUUUGCACUCCAUCUGGAGCGUUUUGAGAGUCACGCCCGGAAGGGAAGAGGAAGGAGCAGUGUUUACGUGUCGGGUGACACAUGCUGCUUUAAGGGACUCUGUAGAAAGAUCAUACACUCUGCAGCUGCCUGGUAUGUCCUGUACAGCAUGUUUGAUUGGAUAG